rnacentral:lncRNA from 1 species
ACACGCACGGGUCAACCUCAACCCUUUCCUUCUCCCGUGCUGCCUCUCUCCUCCCUCACGGCUUUCUCUCACUCUUUCACUCUCGACUUGUACGGACACACUCACCACCAAGCCUACAAGCACGGAUCGAAGGUUGUGAAGGUACCAUCGUGCUCGUGAGGACUAUACGAACUCAACCACACCCAUUUCAGGUAAGAAAUCUUUCGAUUUCACGUCGAAAUCCCAAGCACCGAUUUUGGCACUGUUCAUGAACUUUUUGUUGGUUGAUUUUUAGGACAAUCCAAGCUCAUAGUGAGCUUAGUGAGGUCCCAAGGAAGCUUGGAGUGCUUCGUUGGAAGGAUUUGGACGUCGGGAUCACGAGGGUUAAGUUUGGCCGGUUUUGCUUGGAUUUUUCCGGUGAGAUUUAGUUGUUUUUGAAGCUUAAAAGUAGUAUAUUGUGAUUCUACAUGUUGAGGGCUUUAAAUUGAUAUAUUAUACGAAGAAAAUGGUUGAGAAACGAAGGAGAACAAGGCAUUUGAAAAAUGCCCAGAAUCCGGCCACCGGAGAAAAACCAGUCCGGCGAACUCGCGAGGAAGAAGGUGCGCGUGGGCGCGCGUGGACCCGUGCCUUCCUUGGCGCGUGGGGGCGAGUUCCACAGUAACAAAAUUAUUUUAAAAAUUUGUCGACGUCCGUGACGUCGAGUAGGUCAAUGUGGUAUAUUCAUAUACCCAAAUUGAGCACCGUAUGAGAAAGUUAUUACGAUUAUUGGUUAGGUGCUUUAAAUAACGUUUUAUAGUUUUCGCAUUUAGGUGAAAAUGUGAAUUGACGAUCCGACCGUUGGAUCGUCACCAAACUUUGAUACGUUGUAAUACGUAAUAUUUGAGGAUUAUUAGAACUUACGGAUUGGGAAUCCGAGUUACGGAUCUUCCGGAAUUGGAGUUGUAAGUUCAUAAAAUAAAAUGUUAACCGUCACUUAGUUUUGGAAAUUGACGGAGAUCCGACCGUUGGAUGGUAAUGAAAUUUCAGGAUGUUGUCCUAGAGAUAUAUUGUGGACUCUGGAAGUUAUGGAUUUAAAAUCUGAGUUGCAGAUCUUUCGGAUCAAUCUACGUAGUGACGUAUUUUAUAAAAGUUAUAUUCUAUCGAUAUGAUUUCUGAGGUUGGAUUUGAUUAUUGUUCUAGGCGGCGAUCGUCAUGACGCCUUGAUGAGUUGUGCUAGGGAGUUGUAGGGCGAACUCCAAGUGAGUGGGCAGUUUUGUUUUCGUAUUACCUAUAUACUAUUGAGUUUUCCCAGAAAUUGAAUUUAAAUGAAAGCAUGAUUUAAAAUGCCAUGGAUAGAUUUAUAUGAAAAGUAUGAUUUGAAAUGCCAUGCAUAGAAGUAUAUGAAAAGCAUGAAUUGAUAUAUGAUGCAUAUAUAUAUGUGAAUUGGUGCUGUGGACGCACAGGUAAGUAUCAGGUGAGUUUUAUAUUAUUCAUGUGCAUUGUUGAUGUGUAUAUUGUGGAUAGCUCAUAACCUGCAAUCAUGGUGUUAGUGCUUAUAUUAUUCACCACACCGCACGCUCGUCUUGGAUCCAAGUAGGUGGAUGUCGUACAGACCAAGUGAGGGUUCCGACAUGCUAGUCGUAUAGAUUACUAGAUGUGAUUCCGACUAGUGGGUGACCUUAGAUUAUGUGCACAGAUGAUUGAUGAGAGAAGCACUAGAGCGUAUUAUUACACCAUCCAUGUCGUACAGACUACUUCAGGUAGUUCCGACUUAUCUGCAGUGUAGUGCCGUACAGGUC